CAUGUCAAAAUUAUUGUAGAUGCACAUUCAGUACGGUGUUUUUAAAUGGUAAACAUUGCAAGGAUGAUUUUUAUUGCAAGUAAACACAUGAUCCCAAAAUUAAGUUGGAUUUCAAGUGCCAGGACUUCAGAUGCUGAAGAAGAACUUAAGGGACAUUGUACUUGCAAAUAAGGAAAAACGACGUUGAGGUUGUGACCAAUAUUGGAAACAGUUGCAACAGUACCAUAUAAGAUAUUUCAUUUUAUAAAAGUGACUGUUCUAUUUCUAGUAGCAAUAAGAAAUUGUUAGCUACUACUGAUUCAUGUGAUGGUUUAUCCAAAUUAAAUUUGACUUUUAACCAAGUAAGUAGUCUAGCAUUAUUGACUGAUAAUAAAUGCAGUGACCCAGAGUACAGUAUUGACAAAAGUUAUUGAGACUGCCUUUUCCACGCAAUAAUGGUUCCAGAAGUAAGUCCUUGUUGGAGGUUAUCCAUGGAGACGUCUGUGCAAGUAAAUUCUAAUGGAGGAGGCAGAUAAUUUUUGUUACUCGUUGAUAACUAGAGUAGGAUGUCAUUUGUCUAUUUUUUAAAAGCUAGUAUGGUCGCGAACCAAGUUGGUCGUAAAAUUGACCAAGAUGCUGAAUUUUUUGGCAACAAUUUUAAGCUUUUCUUUGAGUCAGAAGGCAUUAUUCACUAAACAAUCAAUGCUUAUACUCCAGAGCAAAACGGUCUUGCAGAGUCUUAACAGAUAUUUGAUAGAGAAGGCAAUGUACCUUACACUUGACGCUGAUUUAGGAACGAGGUUUUGGGCGGAGGCAAUAAAUACUGCUAGUAAUAGAUCCAUUAUUAGUGGGGCUCCACUUGAAAUGUGGAAUGGUAAGAAACCAGACUUAUCCAACAUCAGGUUGUUUGGAAGCAUCGCUAUGGUCCAUAUCUCGUGGAAAAGAAGGCUCAAGCUCAAUAAAAAGUGCAACAAGUGCAUUCUAAUUGGAUAUGCUGAGGCUAUAAAAGGUAACUGGAUAUAUAACUCGAGUAAAGAUGAUGUAACGACUAGAGAUGUUUAGAUUCAUGAAAAUAUUAAGUUACGAAAGUACUCAGCGGAAGAGUUCUCUGAGGAGACUGUACUUAGAGCGGGGAUAAUCUGGAUCAGAGGGACAAUAUUCGUUUAUUAGUCAGAUCUAGAAUUUAGAUCCAGAAGGCAGUUCUAUAAGUAGAAAUCCAGUGUAUACUCCAGAAGUAUCUAAGAUUCUAUCCAGACACGAAGGCAAUCAGUCGAGAGAGGCAAUUCAAGAGCAGAUUAAAUGUUAAUGGAGGACGUUAGAUGUUAGCUGAGCUAAGUGGGACAGUCUUGAAAACAUGGUACUUACGUUAAAUCCAUUUGUGAUUUGAAGCAAGCAUCACGAGUGUGGUACCAAAAGGUUGAGUGUAUUUUGAUUAAAUUAGGUUACAGUAAGUAAAUGUAAAUUUGAACCUUGUAUAUUUAUCAAGUCAAGUAGUGGUAGCUUAAUCACUGUUAAAGAACUUUGCGUGGAUAACUUUAUAAUUUUUUAAAAUAUUAAAGUAGAAUCUCACAAAAUAAAAUUGGCUUCAAGAUUCAA
rnacentral:lncRNA from 1 species